rnacentral:tRNA from 1 species
GGGGAUGUAGCUCAGUGGUAGAGCACUUGCCUACCAUGCAUGAGGCCCUGGGUUCAAUCCCCAGCACUCCA